rnacentral:tRNA from 1 species
GUCUUCUUGGCGUAACGGUUAGCACACUCGGCUUGUAUUCGAGAGAUCCAGGUUAGAGUCCCGGCGAGAGCA